GGGAUAUUGCACAAACUGCAUGAUUCUCAAUCUUCUGUAAACGCGUGACCAGCGCUAGCGCAUCCAGAAGAAAACUCGGACGUUAGUUCCAACUCUUCGUCAAUCGUCAGCGACUAUCUUACCGCAUCGCACCAACACUCAAAAUGAAAUACAUUUUCGCACUGGUCGCCAUCAUGGCAUGCUUGAUUUCAACUGGUCAUUGUAGCUCGAGCGAUCGUUCAUUGGCAGGCUGUUUAACUGGAUUAAACCGAUGUUCCGAAGCCAUCUCUUGGUUUAGCAACAUUUUCAUGGAGUCUUGUAACGAUUAUUGCGUUAGGGCAGGGUCGAUCGGCGGAGCUUGCGUUCUUCAACCGACCAAUUGCCAACUCAGAUCCGAAGGUGCUACUGUUCGCCAGUGCAAAUGCUACUAAGCAAAUUGACUGAUUAUAUUCUUCUUUAUUCGAUAACAUAUGACUCAUUUAUCUAUGUUUUUUGUACUUUAUGAUGAUCCAAUGACUUUUUAUGAUCUUUGGAAUUUAUUCCUUUGAGUGGUCAGAUUGGAAGACGAAUAAAAAGACUUGAUAUACUUAAAUCAAAUUUCAUACUUUUUUUAAGAUAUCAAGUUUUUUUUAUAAUAACAAUGUACUCUUGUAUUUUGAAUUAUAUAUAUACUGCAGUCAAUACAACUACGCAUCAGACAUA